ACCAGCUUUCUAUUAAUACACGAAUAUGAAUACAAGGUCUCCGAUAUUACAAUGAAUAACAUCGGCACGGUGACACUACGCCAUCCUCAGUUGCUCUAUGCAAGCAGCAGAACAACUCGAAGCAGCGGAACAACGACGACGGUGGUGAACUCCACUCCACAGGGACUCUGGCUGGAACGCUUAUCCUAGCUCGCGAACACAGGAACAACACCAAACAAGCAAGCAAUCCAGGCACGACCUGCAAGCUGGCAUGGCACUCCAGGUCAGUACAUUGAAUGUACUUGCAAGCUCACAAUAACCAGAAGCAUUCAAGACAAACAUCAGCAUGGCAUUUACAGGUUAAGCAGGAAUUAACAUGUGAUCCUCAUAACAACAUGACAUGAGCAACAUGAACAUGAUACAGCUAGAACAACAUGAGCAUGGCAUGAACAUAUGAAUCUGACGAUACUAGCAUGCAACAUGAUGACACUACAGGCACUAUUUAUUCUGCUCGGGUUACUAUGUAACCAUCACAUGCAUCACUUACCAACCUCGGACAUCACACGAUUAUCUUAGGAUCAAAUCAAGCUUGGUAUAAACAAUACCGUAGUAAUCAUUAAAUGACCACAAGGAGCUUGAUUUUUACCCAUGAUUCUCACACAACAUCACAAAUAUACAACUCGGUGAUCAUUCAUGGAUCACAAACGGAACCACUCUGGGUUCAACGGGCUACCUCGUAACCAAACGGUGAUCUUUCCGGCGAUCACAACCAUGACCAACACGUGGUCUCAAACGGUGAUCUUUCCGGUGAUCACAACCAACUUAUCUCAUCAUCGAACCGGGGUUGUCAUUAAUCAAGUUAUUAUUAAUACGGUUGACUCACGGUGUGACUGACACGAAUUGGGCCCUUAUCCGCGGGCGCGGCUAUCGAUAGAUUUAAUAUACACUUUGCAGAGGUUAGUACACUGUACCCACACUAUGGAACCCAUGGCCUCGCAUUCCCAUUCGGGUGGACCAACGGCGUUCCGACAAAACCGAUCUACUGCCAUGACACUCUCCCGGCCACUCCGACCCACUCCCAACUGGGCUAGUCCUGGGUGGCCCAGUGUCGACACAACGACCACCGUCGUGGCCAAAACGUCCCUCACGGGGACCGGGUCCAUAACAACAACAACGGGCACACAAGGCUUAUGUCUGCCUACCUGAUCAGGGUAGGCCGCCCAUAACCUUCCCUAGUUGGAGGCACCGGCGAGAGGCACGACAAUAGACCCAGUUAGGACCUUCCCAUAAAGGUAAGCGCGGUUGCACUGGUCAGUUUCGAUAUGGUGGCACCAUGACUCAGCCAACAGUUGUUCAAGUUCAAUUAAAUCCGGUUAAACUUGAAUGCAAUCUGCUGAGCCAUGAUAAAAUAACAUGAUGCAUAUACAAAGCAUGAGCAUGAUAUCAACAUAAGCACGGGAUGCAACAUAACUAUCCACCAUAACAACUAUGAAUAAUCUCCAACUGAACAUGGCAUAAUGACGAGCAUAAAUAUUACAAGUGCAACACUACUCAUAUUAUAACAUGACCACUAGCAUAACCAUAAAUACCAUGCAAGAACUCAUCAAUAACAUUACCGGGUAACACUUAACCAACUAACGGCAAAGCAACAACGCAUAUUAACAGUACUCGAUAACCGACGUUAGUCAUGCACCGAAGAACAUGACCAACCCAACAUGUACUACUAUCAAGCAUGGCAAUAUGAAAGUAAUACUAGCAACUAGCAGGGCAUGAUAACCAGGUGCAUAACAACAUAGCAAGCAAGUAAGCACUAACCCAGAAGCAUUACCGAAACAACGAUAACCAUAUUUUAAACAAGCCAUCAUUUAAUAAAUAUUCAUUUUGACAACCAUGGCUACUGCAUGAAUAUCAUGCAAGUGCGUAUUGUGGCUUGCCUCGGGAUGAAGAAGGCAUCGGGGAGAAGUGCGGUGAAGCCGCGGAAAGACUUGCCGGAAACAGUUCUCUCUCGGAGGGGCUGUUUACGUGCAAGGGCAAAAAGGUCAUUUUCACAGUGUCAAACCAUAGAGAAAAUGAAACUAACAGAACGGGCUCGACGAAACGAAGACGUGGGCUUUGGAAUCACCUCAUUUGGAGUUGCGAGCAAAAAGUUAUAGCCCGACGAAGUUCAAGGACCGAUCUGUAAAAGAAUCUCUACAAACAGGCCCCUGAGUGAGAAAACAGAAGGCGCCUAAGGAGAAAAUAGGUUUUCAAACUAUGAAAGCGCACUUACGGCUGGAGCAGAAGAGAAAUACGCUUUCUGAAGGCGAAAACGUACUUCUGCGAAGUACGCUUCCACUUAUCCACGUGGACAGUGGCGG
rnacentral:lncRNA from 1 species